GACGAACCACACAAACGUUAUUCGGAAUUACUGGGCUUAAAGGGUGCGUAGGCUGCGCAGUAAGUUGGGUGUGAAAUACCUCGGCUCAACCGAGGAACUGCGCCCAAAACUACUGUGCUUGAGGAAGAUAGAGGUAAGCGGAACUUACGGUGGAGCGGUGAAAUGCGUUGAUAUCGUAAGGAACACCUGUGGCGAAAGCGGCUUACUGGGUCUUUUCUGACGCUGAUGCACGAAAGCUAGGGGAGCAAACGGG
rnacentral:rRNA from 2 species